AUGGAGGCGGAUGACUGGGAGGAGUUCCAAUUGAAAGCAGCCGGAACUAUACGGUUGUGUCUGUCGGACCAAGUUAUAUAUCAUGUGAUGGAUGAGAAUUCGCCGAAGAAGAUCUGGGAGAAGCUGGAAAGUCAGUUUAUGUCCAAGACUACGACGACCAAGGUGUAUCUGAAGCAAAAGUUGUAUGGGAUGAGGAUGCAAGAGGGG
rnacentral:rRNA from 1 species